UUUGACUCAACACGGGGGAACUCACCAGGUCCAAACACGUUAGGAUCGACACGUUGAUAGCUAUCUCCCAUUUCUGUAUGUAGCACAUGUGGCUAUUCUUAGUUAGUGGGAUACUCUGCGUACCCAAUUACGAUAAUAAACGACCUUGACCUGCUAUAUAGUCUACAUUACUUUCGUAGAACUGUACGUUCUUAAAAGGACUGUGAACUUCAGCUGGUACUUAUCUUAGGUAACAAAUAGUAGGCAAACUUUUAUAGGCCUGU
rnacentral:rRNA from 1 species